GACUUCCUACGGGGGGCAGCAGUGGGGAAUAUUGCACAAUGGGGGGAACCCUGAUGCAGCGACGCCGCGUGAGUGAAGAAGUAUUUCGGUAUGUAAAGCUCUAUCAGCAGGGAAGAAAAUGACGGUACCUGACUAAGAAGCCCCGGCUAACUACGUGCCAGCAGCCGCGGUAAUACGUAGGGGGCAAGCGUUAUCCGGAUUUACUGGGUGUAAAGGGAGCGUAGACGGCCAUGCAAGUCUGAUGUGAAAACCCGGGGCUCAACCCCGGGACUGCAUUGGAAACUGUGCGGCUGGAGUGUCGGAGG
rnacentral:rRNA from 1 species